UACGUAGGGUCCGAGCGUUGUCCGGAAUUAUUGGGCGUAAAGGGCUCGUAGGCGGUUUGUUGCGUCGGGAGUGAAAACUUACAGCUUAACUGUGAGCGUGCUUCCGAUACGGGCAGACUUGAGGUAUUCAGGGGAGAACGGAAUUCCUGGUGUAGCGGUGAAAUGCGCAGAUAUCAGGAGGAACACCGGUGGCGAAGGCGGUUCUCUGGGACGUGACUGACGCUGAGACGCGAAAGCGUGGGGAGCAAACAGG
rnacentral:rRNA from 1 species